rnacentral:rRNA from 1 species
ACGAACGCUGGCGGCGUGCUUAACACAUGCACGUCGAACGGAAAGGCCCUGCUUUUGUGGGGUGCUCGAGUGGCGAACGGGUGUGUAACACGUGAGUAACCUGCCCUUGACUUUGGGAUAACUUCAGGAAACUGGGGCUAAUACCGGAUAGGAGCUCCUGCUGCAUGGUGGGGGUUGGAAAGUUUCGGCGGUUGGGGAUGGACUCGCGGCUUAUCAGCUUGUUGGUGGGGUAGUGGCUUACCAAGGCUUUGACGGGUAGCCGGCCUGAGAGGGUGACCGGCCACAUUGGGACUGAGAUACGGCCCAGACUCCUACGGGAGGCAGCAGUGGGGAAUAUUGCACAAUGGGCGGAAGCCUGAUGCAGCAACGCCGCGUGCGGGAUGACGGCCUUCGGGUUGUAAACCGCUUUCGCCUGUGACGAAGCGUGAGUGACGGUAAUGGGUAAAGAAGCACCGGCUAACUACGUG